GCUUCUCUGAUACAACGGGUUUCACAAACUUCUAAUCCGUAGGUCAGAGGUUCGAAUCCUCUCAGGCGUGCCA
rnacentral:tRNA from 1 species